UAACAUUUCAAUGGAAAGCAUGAAUAAUCAAUUCAUCCCGAAUUCCAUCCUGCAACAAGAAUAACAUUUCAAUGGAAAGCAUGAAUUACCAAAUCAUCCCUAUAUCCCACAUAGCAAGUACAAUCCCUAAUUUCCAUUUAUUUUAUCAAGAAGCAUGGAAAUGGAAGGUAUUGUGCAAUGGCCAUUUCAGUAGCUCUAUGGAGGAAGAACCAUAAGCCUCAGGCGAAUCUUGCUUUGCUUUGUUGUGUUUAUUCAAGCCAUGCAUCUACAUGUGCCAAGCACAAAGCACCCCAUGUGUAAGAUAUCAAGGGUGUUCAUUAUAUCAAGAAGCUGUUUGUCAAGUCUGCACUUGUUGUUUGGAAUAAGCUGUGCAGGUCAUGUCGUCUUGGGCUAGCUGUUCAAUUACUCAUUUGUCAAGCAUUUAAGAACAGGAAAUAGAAUAACACGUGAAGAGCUAAAGAUGGAUGGUGACACAUAUAGCAUUUAUAGUGCAUAUAUACACCGACACAUGGCAUAUGUGAGGCGCUUGAAGAUUGACAAUGGCACAGUAGUACAUGCAGGUUUGUGAACAUGAAUAGUGGUACAUGCGGAUCAUUACACAUGUGAUGCAUGUUUACGUACAAAAUUAUGUUUUUACAUGCACUGUACUAAAGAUAAGCUUUCUUCGGGCUAACAGAGAAAUUUUAAAUGCAUGGUGUACUUAUUUUCCUUGAUUCAUGUGGUAAAAGGGAUUUUAAAAAAUCAUGCAUACAGUAUCUCUCCAGAAUGACUAGUGCAACACGCACCCUGACUCCGGCCGAAGGAAGGCUCAACAUUCCUCACCAGCUGUGUGACUGAAGGAGUGAGAUCUGCUCUCUGCAUAAUAGUCCAAGUUCUGCCGUCCAUUCCAUCACCCACUGGACAAAUUUUGAAAAGAAGGAAAGGCCUGAAUUAUGGAGCUGAAGGUCAUUGAGCCCUGCAAACAUGCUAGUGUGGACCUUAUGCAAGAUCCCGCUUGCUCAUCAGGUGGUGGGCCCAACAUGAAUGUGCCAUAGUUCGAACAUCAGUCUGUACGUUAAACAGGUCAACGACAUGUGUAUGCAGAUACGUUACCCAUGUAUUGAUCUUGUGCCCGAUUUACAUAACAGUGAGGACCAGCCGUUUGACGGCCAAAAUUUGUAGAAUCAUUGCAUUGGCCCACUUGUACAUUUUUUGGACGACCAAAACAUUAGCCAACCAUUUUAUUUUC